GCUGGUAAAGCCCCCACCUGUGAUGUUAACAUCUCAUUUGGGUGCCAGUUCCAGACCCGGCUGCUCCACUUCCUACCCAGCUCUCUGCUAAUGUUCCUGAGAAUGCAGUGGACGACGGCUCAAGUGCACCCACUGGGGAGACCCAGAAGAAGAUCCAGGCUUCUUCAAAGAGACAUGCAUGCACACAUGCACAAGAAUGUUCAGGACUACCUUGUUGAUGAUACCAAGACUGAAAACAACUGAUGUAUGUGUACACAAGAAGUAAAGAUUAACUGUGGUAUAGUUACUGAAUGCAUUUUAGAAGGCAAUGAAAAUUAAUGAACUUCAGCUACAUAUGGAUGUGGAUACAAUUGCAGUAUAUUCAAAGAACACUUUAAGAAGAACACAUCCCAUGAAAGAAAAAGCUGGUCAGAAGCACAAGCCUGCUGAUGUGUUUGAGUUUCCUGAUAACUCCGAAAUCUCAAGCAAUGGCAGUGAAAGUAAGAAAGACGAUGAACCUUACGAGACUUUUGAUCCUCCCCUACACAGCACUGCUAUAUAUGCUGAUGAAGAAGAACUCUCCCAACACUGUGGGUCAUCUGUCCCUUCAACUCCUCCAGGAAAAGCAACGAAAGAAAGCUUGAGCACUUCUGCAGGUGAAGCAAGUGAAAGCGCGUCUGUAAAACUGAGAGCCACAAAGCCAGGAAGAAGAUGUAAGCCCCUUAGCGAUGGCUCUGACAGCUCGGGAGAAAGUGAGAUACGAAGAAAAGUUCAGUCACCAGAGAGAAUCGGUGCGCGACGGUGUGACGCUGUUCCGGCCGGGGCGCCGUCGGGGCUUCCCGAGAGACGGCCGCGGUCAGAGAGGCCCGAGGCGGGAGGCGGCCGUGGCAGCGGUGCACCUGCGGACGGAGGGACCCCGGCCAUGGUGAGGUCGCCCCGCGGGAAAGAAAAGGAAACUCAGAAAAAGAAGACUAUGUCUCGUGGCAAAAGGAAAAAAACAAGCAAUGAAGCUGGAGAUUCAGGUAUUUCUGACAGCGUGCAUAUUUGGUGUCUAGAAGGAAAAAAGAAGAGUGACCUCAUGGAGUUGGAUAUUGUUUUGUCUGCAUGUGAGAAAGCAAUCCGGGAGCAUAAAGAAAGAAUAGAAUCUAAAAUUUGUAAAGAAGCCAUCAAUAAAUUUCAUUGUAAUAUUAAAGAAGAACUCAUCAAAAUGCUUAAAGAAGCCCAGAUGUUGAAAAACCUGAAAAGGAAGAACGCUAAAGUGAUUGCAGAUAUCAAGAAGAAAAGGCAGCGUUUGGUUGAAGUCCAGGAUGAACUGCUUCGGUUAGAGCCCCAGCUGAUACAGCUACAAACAAAAUACGACGAACUUAAGGAGAGAAAGUCAUCCCUGAGGACGGCAGCAGAUUUCCUAUCUAAUUUAAAACAGCUCUAUCACGAGUACUCAGAUCUUCAAGAGAAAGAACCAGACACAAAGGAAACGUAUGAUUCAUCCAGCCUUCCAGCUCUGUUAUUUAAAGCAAGAACCUUUUUGGGAGCUGAAAAUCAUUUGCAAAAUAUCAACCACCAAUUAGAGAAUCUCCUUGACCAGGACUGAGGAGACAGCUGUACUGAAAUGUGCCAACUUAGUCCCCUGCGGCCUCUGAAAACAAAUUACAGGCUGCUUAUGUGAUGUCCACAGUUGGCUACUCUUGUAAUACUUCCAUAAUGAGGUCAUCAGGAAUCUCAUCCACUCCACUACUGUGACUCAGAAGACUGCUCUCUGCAGCCUCUGCUAAUUCAGCAUCUUCAGUGGCUUCUAAAAAGCAAGCAUCAUCCAUGCCAUUGUCCCAGCCAGGGUCAGAGGAUGCACCAGGGGACGGUUUAUGAGGGCUCGUGGUUUCAUUGUUCCUAGUUUCGUCUGUUGUAAAUUCUUCUUCCUUUAAAAAAAAAAAUCUAGUUGUAAUUCUACAUAGACUGAAUAUAUAAUGAAAUCACCACAUAUUAAGAUCUUAAGACCAGUUCGAUAGGAAUGAGAAUAUUAACUGUUUCUGGAGUUGGCUCAGAUACUCCUUAGACUCCCCAUUUGAAACUGCCUGCAGUUCUGUGGCACAGAUGUUUCAGCAUCCCCAGCAGGUGCUACAGCAAGGACAGACUUAACUGUUCAAGUGGCCUGUGUACCUGUUAAAGACAAACUGCCAAGGACUAAUCACUAAGGCUUACAUGAGAUAAUAGUGAUGUUAAAUUUCCUUAAAUUAGGUGUGGAGCCUCUGUCUGGGGCACCAGCAUCCUGUAGGGGCACUGGUUCAAGUCCCAGCUGGGCCCUGCACCACGUGGGAGACCCAGAAGCAGCUGUUGCAGCCAUUUGGGGAGUGGAGGGAAGACUUCAGUCUCUCAAAUAUACCUUAAAAAGGAAAGGCCCCACAGAGUAUUAUGUAUACUUACUGGUUUUAAAAAUAUGAGCCCAGAUAAAAAUGUUGUAAUAUUAUGAGGAAGAUUUUAAAUUAUUUGGGCAAAUAAAGAUCUUUGAAAGAAA